ensembl:lncRNA
GACUCUGAAUGGAAAAUUUCUUUUGACAAGUGGGUCUGGGAGCAACAAAUAAAUGAAGUGAGCAAGAGGUGGAAGAUGUGGCUUUACCUUGUUGAAGGCCCUCAUCUUUGGGAUGCAGCCAUGAGUCCAUUCCAGAGCCAACCCAGGCUAUGUCUGGAAAGCACACAGAUAAAGCCCAGCAAAGAACAUAAAAAACAAGUCCACACUGGUUUCUGAGAACUCCAGGGGCUACUGGAAGGAGACACUUCCUCUUUCCUCUGCGGGGAGCCUGGCUGUCAAGAAAUAGGGGGAGCCCAGCAUGUGCUGAAGUGAAGACCCAGAUUGAUGGAGAGGUUUUCCUGAGGAGCAGCUGGAAGAGCGUGAACUCUGCACAUCUCCUCCAGCUAUUCUAAGUCUCCUAGAAAGUUUCUCUCUUCUGUUUGGAAAUUCUGCUAAGCUCUGCUGCAGAUGAAGAGCCCCUGGUAACCACUGUUCUACUUUCUGUCUCUACGAAUGACUCCAGAAUUUUACAUGGAUCCUCCAAGAUACAAUUCACUUGCUCAUACCCUUAGGGCCUGGUCUGCACAGAAUAUGUGCUGGUUCUGAAUACUACCUGAGAGGGACAUCUCAAGAGGCAGGAGAAGGGGACCCCACCUAUCAGUGAAGCUGUCAAUUUUCCUGGUACCAUGUCUUAGUCAUCUUUGUGCCCGCCGGGAUGACAAGCCCAGUCACUUGUGCAUAGUAAAUGAUUGAUAAAGGUUUACUGAGCUGAAUUAUUGCAGACAGAUGCUGCAAUCAUUCCAAUGUCUGCUGCCACCCUCACCCCACUUUCUUCCCCCUGUAUUGUCAAAUCUCCUUCUGUCAGCCUCUUUUAGGGACAUGUGACUUUCAGUACUUAUGUGGCUAACCCAGGAUAGUCCCCCCAUCUUUAGAUCAUUAACUUAAUCACAUACGCAAAGAUUUAAUUAUGUACAUUUAUGCACACAAGUUCAGAGACAAAUGUGACUCAAGGCGGCGAUUAGAAUUUGGGGCCUAUAUAGCCUCUUAACAGGGAAUAAGGGGGGGGGGAGGUAGGCGCUUUUGGGAGAAUGUAUGACUUCUUGGGGGAUGGGAGAUAAGGGCCCUGAGAGAAAACAGGUGACAAAUAGGACUUAGGAGAAUGUAUGGGUGAUAUGAUAGCUUUGUGGCAAUGUCUUUUGGGGUAUGGCGCCAAUUUCUCCUUUCCAAGAAAGGAUUGGAGUGCUCUGGAGAGGGGAUUUAUGACAAUUGAGUUCUUUGGGGAGGCUCUGUUUUUAGGCAGAUACAGGAUUUAAGGAACGCAGAUAUCUUCAGCUCAAAAUAGUAUUUCAUGCCACAGCAGUUUAUUCUGGACCCUUCAGUGCCUAUAGGUCUGCAGGGAUUAGCCCAGCUCAAAGCUCAUCACUUUUAAGUCCUCUGCAUACAGCCCAUAUGUGUUCCUUGUUAAAACCCGUUCAUGUUACCUGGAGAGAAUAAGCACAUAGUUUUGGGCUAGUGUAUUAGCGGGACUGUUUUUAGAAUUAAAAGUGUAUAACCAGGACAGAGCACAGACUAUAUUCCAUCUAUAAUCUGUCCUCUAAGGUUAGAAAGAAGUCCUUUGUGGAGCAAAUCUAUACUACACUUGUGGGCACUGGUCCUGGCCUCUUUGCCUGGAUUCUGUUGCUGCCUGAGUCCUCAGGCUUGGGCGGGUCUGCCAGUGUGUCCUAAUUCACUUUUGCUGAUCUGGGUCUUGGGUCACUUCCUAAAGCUUCCCACUUAAACUCACACAUCUGAUCAGCUCUUCUUAUAUAUUCUUUAGGAACUGGGGAGUUAAAUUCUUCUACUGUUUAAAAGUGUGUACCUUCAGUUACAGAGUUCUCAUAAACCUUAGUAAUCUAAUUACUAAUCUUGGGAAAAUCUUCCUGCUUUCUUUGAGAAUACUACAGCAGUGAGUCACCAGAAGGAUGCCAGGAAAGGGGAGGUGGCUGGGUCCCUGGGCUUAUCAUCCACUGGCAUGUCCGUUAUCUCUGCCAGGAAGACAAGCCAAGUUAUCCUUCAGACAGGAAAUGGGAUGUUGGUGGUGGCCCCAAGAAGUGCACAGACUCUGAACUGGAAGAUGAGAGACCACUGUGGAAGGGAUCCAGGUGUGGCCCUAAAACAGCAAAGAAGAAGAAGAAACAGAGACACAGAGGGAGAAGAUGGUGACUCGGUGAUGGAGAGACAAAUGAACAGAACUGGUGUCAGUAUUCUGUGCUCCUGAGACACCUGAGCUCAUCUCCAAGG